UUCUUGGUGGUUUGCCAUGAGAUAAUGAGGUUAUAACCGAGUUGCUCUAUUGUUGGUUGAAAACUAUUUCCAAACCCCCUCUUAGGCCUUAGUUAAGUAUUGUGCCAUUUAGAAUUUAUGGAAGGGAUCUUUAUUC